rnacentral:rRNA from 1 species
UACAGAGACUGCAAGCGUUAUUCGGAUUCACUGGGCGUAAAGGGUGCGCAGGCGGUUGGGUGUGUCAGAUGUGAAAUCCCGAGGCUCAACCUCGGAACUGCGUCUGAAACUACUCGACUAGAGUACUGGAGAGGGUAACGGAAUUCACGGUGUAGCAGUGAAAUGCGUAGAUAUCGUGAGGAACACCAGAGGCGAAGGCGGUUACCUGGACAGUUACUGACGCUGAGGAGCGAAAGCCAGGGGAGCAAACGGG